UUUUUUCUACUGCAUCCACAAAAUUGAAAAAACCAUGUAUCAAAAGGUAACAUUCAAACAAAACAAGGCCCAUGAAUAACUAAAACCAAUGAAACCUUGAAAAAUGAAUAAAAAAAAGUAUCACUUCUUCUUAGUCAUAAAAAUAAUAAAAAACUAAUAAUAUUUUUCAAAUAUACAUAUGAUAUACCAGGUAUUGUGAUACAGGUACAUUUACAUAUUGAUGUGAACAUAUCCUGAAUUUCAAGGUUCCUGAAAAUAAAUCAACUCAAUGAAAAAAAAAAACAAUUGUGUCUAAUAAUGUGGUGAUUAAUAAAUUUGAAAAAGAAGUGAACACAAAUUACUUGGCUAAUAUGCAGUUGGAAGUGGAAGGGGAGCCCGUUCAAUACUUGACUGAGGUGUCAUUGAGGUGCAUGUGAGCAUGUUUAGUACCUUCUUGAUGUGCAUAUGGAGGUGGAUGGGGAAAUGGAGAUGGAAUACCUUUAGGAUUACUUGUUUCAGGUACAGUUAGGGGUGGACUUUGUAAUUUGUAUUAUAAUACCUUUAGGAUUACUUGUUUUAGGAUUACCUUUGGGAUGGAAUACCUUUAGGCUUAUGUAACCUACAUAUACUGUAGCAUAUGGCAUACUGGAUUCUUGUUCUGUUGUUAUCUUUUACUUGUCCAACUCACUAAGAUUUAAGCUUACACACAUGCACCAGCACUACACCUGCUCUCAACCCCUCCCUGCACCAUUCAAAUUGUUGCUCAAUAUCGUGUUCUCAUCAUAUGAUAUCCUUUUUCCCUCAGUUAAUGCUCAUUGCUCAUGCUAUGCUUCUAUCUUAUUAUCUCACCUAAUUUGUAUUAUAAUAAUCAUACACGUACCAUAUCAAAAGGUUACUAAGUUAACCCUUUGCAACUUUUUAACAGCAGAAAGAGGUCUAGCAUGGAAAACCUUGACAUGUAUCCACUGGACAAGAAAACAUAAAGGUUAGAUAUAGUGACAUUUUAAUUAAAUAACAUUUUAAUGGCUGAGGUGGAAUUUGGCAGCAUUUGACAAUUUCCAAAUUGAUGACCUUAUAAUGCAAAGACAUUUGAAUCAACUAAAACUAUCGAGUGUAGUCAGAUCACCAGUUUCUCUCCUUUUUAUGUUGCCCAGCUUAUGUUUAACUAAAAGUACAACUCAAAUAAAAUUCCAAUCAACAUAAAAGCAUUAACACUUCCACCCCACACCUCCUACCUAAUCUCAAUAUAACUCCAAAAUUCUCCAUUAAAAAUGAUGCUCGGUAUCUAUUUAUUAGGCCAAAAGUGAACUUGGCAAACUAAAAAAUAAACUAAUAAUGUUUAGAAGAUUGGUUUAGAAAGGAUGGAUCGAAAAAGAUAAUCUAAUUUGGUUGUACCUAAAGCUUGAGUUUGGGUCUAAGCAGUCAAUCAAAUUUGCUAAUGCAUUAUUUUAUUGGUAACUAACUUAAUAUGACAUGCCUAGAAACACAUACUUGUUUCCACUCCACCAAUUGUUGAAGCAAAUCCAUCACCUGCAUGAAACAAAUAUAUGAAUAAAUAUAUAAACAAACACAU
rnacentral:lncRNA from 1 species